UACGAAGGGGGCUAGCGUUGUUCGGAAUUACUGGGCGUAAAGCGCGCGCAGGCGGCUAUCCAAGUCAGUGGUGAAAGCCCGGAGCUCAACUCCGGAACUGCCAUUGAAACUGUUUAGCUUGAGGAUGAGAGAGGUGAGUGGAAUUCCCAGUGUAGAGGUGAAAUUCGUAGAUAUUGGGAAGAACACCUGUGGUGUAGACGGCUUUCUGGACCAUAGCUGACGCUGAGACACGAAAGCGUGGGUAGCAAACAGG
rnacentral:rRNA from 1 species